UACGGAGGGGGCUAGCGUUAUUCGGAAUUACUGGGCGUAAAGCGCACGUAGGCGGACCGGAAAGUCAGAGGUGAAAUCCCAGGGCUCAACCUUGGAACUGCCUUUGAAACUUCUGGUCUUGAGGUCGUGAGAGGUGAGUGGAAUUCCGAGUGUAGAGGUGAAAUUCGUAGAUAUUCGGAGGAACACCAGUGGCGAAGGCGACUUACUGGACUGUAACUGACGCUGAGGCAUGAAAGCGUGGGGAGCAAACAGG
rnacentral:rRNA from 1 species